UACGUAGGGAGCAAGCGUUGUCCGGAAUCAUUGGGCGUAAAGCGCGCGUAGGCGGCCUCGUAAGUCCGUUGUGAAAGUCAAAGGCUCAACCUUUGAAAGCCGAUGGAUACUGUGAGGCUAGAGUCCGGAAGAGGCGAGUGGAAUUCCUGGUGUAGCGGUGAAAUGCGCAGAUAUCAGGAGGAACACCAAUGGCGAAGGCAGCUCGCUGGGACGGUACUGACGCUGAGACGCGAAAGCGUGGGGAGCAACGGG
rnacentral:rRNA from 1 species